rnacentral:lncRNA from 1 species
GCUUUUUACAUUGGCUCUUACGGGAGUCCAGGGUCCUAUAGAACUCGUCCCUGUUUAGAUCGUCUUAUCAGUAAAGAUGGCUUGCUCAUGGAUGGUUGUCUGAGUAAUUUAUGAUCAUUCACUCUUGUUUUGUGUGCUUGUGCAGUUAACAUAAAUAACAUCAACUGUGGAACGGCGAAUUGAUUUCUCGCGCAUUUCAGUGUUUCCGUGGUUGUUUUGCUUUAUGUAUUAUUCUUCCACACGCAGCCCCGCGAGCGAGCAUGUUGCUUAGUUUUUCGUAGCGUCGAUCGUAAUACCUGUGAUUGCAUAUGGUUGAUAUUAUGUCACCGUGUAUUUGUUACCUGCUGGAGUCUUAGUGGUAGUGCGGGAGCUGGAGCUCACCAUCUGCUUAGCUGCUUCUCCACAAUCUGAGAAUGGAACUGAUUUAAUCAAGAAUCAAUGUGUGCUCAGUCAGAAUUUUUUAUCAGUCAGCACCUCGCAUUUAUCACGGCAAACAACUGAUACCUCGCCACUUUUCCACCUUUGAAAUUAUCGCGAUGUUUUUUACUGAAUGCAGCUGUGGUUCUCUCUCCACAGUGCUUCGACUUUUCGACAUUAAUUUUGUUUACUCACUUUUCUAAACGAUAGUUGUCAUGCAGCUGUCAUGGAGAUCUGAGUACUGCAAAUUUUACUUCCCAAAUGCCAUAAUCCUUUCAAUAUCACAUGACCCAAGUGCCUUUGAUUGUUGCCAUUUGUGAUAAAUAGCUAGUGAAAUAAUUAUACUACUUGCUCAACUUCCAAUUUUCCGUCUCAGUCUUAUUUUGUGCCUUGAAUGUAAUAUUGUGCGAUCGGGAGUGCAACAAGUGGUCAUCGUAUCAAGAACAUAUCUGGAUUAUUUAUUACCCAUUCCUAGUGCGACAAGUGGUUAAAGUAGAAACAUAUUUGGAUUAUCUACGGGGAUACUGGAUCUAUGCUCCUUCUCAUCAGAAUUUAGGUAAGUUUGCAUCUGUUUUGAUUCUCCCAACAGAAUUGUGAGAUUCUAGCGGCGGUAAGCGGAUUGUUUUUUUAUGUCUAGUAUGUAGCAUCACUAAAAAUUGCACCGAGAGAUUAUUUAAGUUAGAUAUUCCAACCAGGGCCGGAUUUACCUAUAGGCUACAUAUGCUAUAGCCUAGGGCGCAACAUUUUAAGGGGUGCAAAAUUUUUGAG